UGCAGUCGAGCGGUAAGGCCCUUUCGGGGGUACACGAGCGGCGAACGGGUGAGUAACACGUGGGUGACCUGCCCUCCACUCUGGGAUAAGCCCGGGAAACUGGGUCUAAUACCGGAUAGGACCACUGGAUGCAUGUCUGGUGGUGGAAAGUUUUUUCGGUGGGGGAUGGGCCCGCGGCCUAUCAGCUUGUUGGUGGGGUGAUGGCCUACCAAGGCGGUGACGGGUAGCCGGCCUGAGAGGGCGACCGGCCACACUGGGACUGAGACACGGCCCAGACUCCUACGGGAGGCAGCAGUGGGGAAUAUUGCGCAAUGGGCGGAAGCCUGACGCAGCGACGCCGCGUGGGGGAUGACGGCCUUCGGGUUGUAAACCUCUUUCGCCAGGGACGAAGCUAACGUGACGGUACCUGGAGAAGAAGCACCGGCCAACUACGUGCCAGCAGCCGCGGUAACACGUAGGGUGCGAGCGUUGUCCGGAAUUAUUGGGCGUAAAGAGCUCGUAGGCGGUGUGUCGCGUCGGCCGUGAAAACUUGGGGCUUAACUCUGAGCGUGCGGUCGAUACGGGCAUCACUUGAGUUCGGCAGGGGAGACUGGAAUUCCUGGUGUAGCGGUGAAAUGCGCAGAUAUCAGGAGGAACACCGGUGGCGAAGGCGGGUCUCUGGGCCGAUACUGACGCUGAGGAGCGAAAGCGUGGGGAGCG
rnacentral:rRNA from 1 species